GUAAACCAGAAAAGGGGGAAAACGUUCCUCCCAAGGACUA
rnacentral:tRNA from 1 species